rnacentral:rRNA from 1 species
UACGGGGGGGGCAAGCGUUGUUCGGAAUUACUGGGCGUAAAGGGCUCGUAGGCGGCCAACUAAGUCGGAUGUGAAAUCCCCAGGCUUAACCUGGGAACUGCAUCCGAUACUGGUUGGCUUGAAUCCGGGAGAGGGAUGCGGAAUUCCAGGUGUAGCGGUGAAAUGCGUAGAUAUCAGGAGGAACACCUGUGGUGUAGACGGCUUUCUGGACCAUAGCUGACGCUGAGACACGAAAGCGUGGGUAGCAAACAGG